GCCCUGGUGGCACAGCGGUUAAGUGCUUGGCUGCUAAACAAAAAGUUGGUGGUUCAAACCCACCAUGGCA
rfam:Loxodonta africana unplaced genomic scaffold scaffold_8, whole genome shotgun sequence.